rnacentral:RNase_P_RNA from 1 species
GCAGUAAGCUGGACAGCCGCGCCGGCGGGGUGAAAGGCCCGCCGGUGAGGAAAGUCCGGGCUCCACAGGGCAGGGAUAACGGGUAACACCCGCCGGGGGCGACCCUAGGAAAAGUGCAACAGAAAUAGACUGCCCUCCUCUCGGGGAGGGUGAUGGUGGAAAGGCGAGGUAAGAGCUCACCCGAUGGCGUGGAAGCGCCCAUCGCUGUAAACUCUAUCCGGAGCAACGCCGUGGAGGGACACACAGGCUGGCCCGGCCGUCCCAGGGAGGCGGCUAGAGCGCGUCAGCAAUGGCGCGUCGAGAUAGAUGGCUGUCUUAAAAGACAGAACCCGGCUUACAGGCUUACUGCAGCA